AGUCGAACGGAACUGUUUUGAAAGAUUUCUUCGGAAUGAAUUUGAUUUAGUUUAGUGGCGGACGGGUGAGUAACGCGUGAGUAACCUGCCUUCAAGAGGGGGAUAACAUUCUGAAAAGAAUGCUAAUACCGCAUGACAUAUCGGAACCACAUGGUUUUGAUAUCAAAGAUUUUAUCGCUUGAAGAUGGACUCGCGUCCGAUUAGUUAGUUGGUGAGGUAACGGCUCACCAAGACCGCGAUCGGUAGCCGGACUGAGAGGUUGAACGGCCACAUUGGGACUGAGACACGGCCCAGACUCCUACGGGAGGCAGCAGUGGGGGAUAUUGCGCAAUGGGGGCAACCCUGACGCAGCAACGCCGCGUGAAGGAUGAAGGUUUUCGGAUUGUAAACUUCUUUUAUUAAGGACGAAAAAUGACGGUACUUAAUGAAUAAGCUCCGGCUAACUACGUGCCAGCAGCCGCGGUAAUACGUAGGGAGCAAGCGUUGUCCGGAUUUACUGGGUGUAAAGGGUGCGUAGGCGGCUUUGCAAGUCAGAUGUGAAAUCUAUGGGCUCAACCCAUAAACUGCAUUUGAAACUGUAGAGCUUGAGUGAAGUAGAGGCAGGCGGAAUUCCCCGUGUAGCGGUGAAAUGCGUA
rnacentral:rRNA from 1 species